rnacentral:tRNA from 1 species
GGCGGGGUAGCCAAGCGGUUAAGGCAGAGGAUUGCAGAUCCUCUUUCCCUGGUUCAAGUCCAGGCCCCGCCUCCA